GGUCAGAGGAGAACUGUUACCCCAUAGAAAGACCCAGGCAAAGUCUGCAUGAACCAGCAGAAAGCACCACUGCAAGUCUGACACCUUGGUUAUUCCACCCCUGGAGCUGAGUAGCACUUACACCAUUUAGCAGCAAUCAUACCAAAUGUUUUGCAGUGGCAUUUGUUACACGCUUGAAAGCACAAAAGAAAAACCAUGACUCAGGAAAAUUAGCGCAGAAACCAACGGAACUCAGAAUUGCCACUAAACUGCAGAACUGGUAAAUCCCGUCUUCCUCAUUGCAGGUGAAAACAGAAAAAAUGUGGACUUAUUCUGAGGAGUGCGACUACACAGUAGGAAUUGCAAAAGAGUACAUAUUUUGGGCAAAACAGUGAGAGAAGUCUUCAGGUUUCUAACUUCUAUUCAAAUGAUUAAACACUGCAGUUCUUUUAAAGCCAUUUUACAAACCUUUUCAUUACUCAGAGGCUGUACAAAAUAAUAUUUAAAAAAUAAGAUGAAAAAGCAGGAAGAGCCAACAAAUUGAUUAAAUAAGGAAUGGAUAUCUCUGACUUUAAUCCUAUUUUAACUUUCAUGUCUGGUGAACAAUGAGAAAACUAUCAGCUUUGGGCCUGGCAACUGCUGUAUCAAUGUCUGCUACCAGCAUUAGCAGUGAAUCCAUCUGUGACUGCGGAACAGUUCAAGGACUUAACAAUAUGAUUACAGCCUUUAAUUUUCACCUGCAACUGUAUGAUUAAGUUUAAUAAAACUGUGGUCUAUACUGUGA